CCCUCCCCUGCUUGCAUGUGCUCUCUCUCUCUCUCUCUCUUUCUCAAAAUUCAAUAAACAUUAAACAAAGAAUAAUUCCUCUCAAUUCUUUCAGAUUUAUAUUUCGAGAUGCUUUGAAUACUUCCGAAAACAAAACCUAACAGGGAAAGGAGAGAGAUGAGCGACUUAAGUGAAACGACAAGACAACGAAUUGCCACAACUUCAACCAGAAGCGACGGGGAUCGUCUGCCAAACACCCUGCCUUUGGACCAACGUGAGAUGAGACCGUGCAGGCCAAGAAGCUACGCACACCUCCUGGGACCACAGGCCACACAUGAAACCUCCCAAUUGUUGUUACCACCCAGAAGUUGCCUUCAGCGGACCUUAGACCAGCCACGGUCUAAUCCGUGGAUGGUUUAACUAUGGAACCACCUGGCCAUCGCUGACCUGACUCAUCUGCACAGACACUUUGAAAUCUGCAGACUCCUGUGAGAGGUCAAGGUUACCUCGUGUUCAUGUGCUGCUGACACAUCUGCUAGUGAAAUCCUAGGGCUCCAUUUCACUGACUUCCCUUUUGGGAUGAAAGAAAAUCUGGCACGUUGACUUUCUUUUUGACAGUUCACUGCAGCAGAACUCUCCCCAGUUGAGAUGUGUGUGUAAGGGAUCAAUUUAAUGCAUUUCUUUGUCUUUGCACCAAGUGGCUUCUUGGUGCCACUUUCCUAAGUGGAGUUUCUUCUCGCAGACUGUGGCUUGCAGUUCCAGAGCAGAGAUGUUGUUGUUCUCCAUGGAAGUGAAUUGAUGCCCCUCCGGGAGUCUGGAUGCUAUCAAGAUGAAAAAGGUUCAGUGUUUCUUCCAGAAGCAGUAAAUCAGAUCCUUUGUGAGUUGUGCACUCAAUCUCUUUCUCUUUCUUUCUUUGAGGAGUGGCCAAGCCAGAGUGAUGCUUCUGUCUUCGCUCCUUGGAAUGAAGGUGGGGAAGGAUGCCCGAGUCACCAAGUCCCCUCCUCCAGACCCACAGGCCUGCUGGCUUCCAUUUGGCUUACAAGUGCCCAAAUAUCCAGAGCUGCCCUUCACUUCCCUCCAGAAUCCCUCCCAUGCCCUCACAUCCUUUCUGGAACAGACUGGCUUCCUCUUGCCUUAUCUCCAUGUUCCAAUGCUUGGGGGUCUUCUCUGUUCCACUUCACUAGGAAUGAGUGAGGCCUCAUCUGGUGAGCCGGGCCAUGCUGAUGUACUCCCUUCUUGUGUGUUCUCCCAGGCAAAAUGCCUGGGCCCACCAUGGCACUCUUCUUUAGGAGGGCCUUCCAAUGUCUUCAGGAGGCCUGGCGGCAGGAGUUACAUCGGUGUUAACUUCAGCAAUGAAGUUAACAGUGAUGAAGGUAUAAUCGUCUUCAUUCGGAAGUUAAUUGUGUAAAUAUCAGUGAAUGUUUUGGAGUUCGGGUGCCUGGUAACUUCAGUGGGAGCCAGGGUCCCCAUACAUUGCUACAAAGUCCAUCUUGGCCUACAUGAAUGGAGAGACGGAGUGUGGAUCAGAGGAGCUAACUCUGCUGUCCUCUGUGCUGGCUUCUUGGUCCGGAACCUCAUAAUUCACCUGUCGAUUGCAUUAUAGAAAGAACCUUGAAAGCGAAUCCAAGAGACAGUGAUGAACAUUUUGAGGAAUCUAGAAACCAUGCUGUACGGAGGCGCUGCCCUUCUCGGAAGGUUAAAAGCUAAGCCGGCUCUGUAGGAAGCAGCUCCAGUGUUUAGCCAAGUCUGGUGGAGUCAUUUGCCCUGUCUCCGUGCAGUGAGCUUGAGUUGGCACUUUUCCACUCUGUGGAUGGGAAGCUUGGCAGUAAACUGGCAGACUAGUCUGAUGGCACCGAGCAGGGCUUUGGAGGCUGACGUUCACACCACCGCAUCUUCAAGACCCACAGCCUUUUCAUGCAGAUACGCAGGAAUAAGACUCUUGCCCCGUGCCUUACCCGGCAGAUUCUACAGGAAAGAGAAAAGCAGAAGGAAAAGAACACUGGUGUUGAAUUUACUAAGAAAAGCAAGUUCCAGUGGAAUCCUGAAGUUGGUCCUCAUUCUUCCCGCUAAUCUACACUUUUAUUUUGCUUACAUUUUAAAACUUCUAUUUUGAUAUAAUUUUUACGUACAAAGAAUGGCUCAAAAAGAGUG